CUACGGGUUGCAGCAGUGAGGAAUAUUGCACAAUGGGGGGAACCCUGAUGCAGCAACGCCGCGUGGAGGAUGACACUUUUCGGAGCGUAAACUCCUUUUAUAUAGGAAGAAGAUGACGGUACUAUAUGAAUAAGCGCCGGCUAACUCCGUGCCAGCAGCCGCGGUAAUACGGAGGGCGCAAGCGUUACUCGGAAUCACUGGGCGUAAAGAGCGUGUAGGCGGAUUAAAAAGUCAGAAGUGAAAUCCUAUAGCUUAACUAUAGAACUGCUUCUGAAACUCUUAAUCUAGAAUAUGGGAGAGGUAGAUGGAAUUUCUGGUGUAGGGGUAAAAUCCGUAGAGAUCAGAAGGAAUACCGAUUGCGAAGGCGAUCUACUAGAACAUUAUUGACGCUGAGACGCGAAAGCGUGGGGAGCAAACAGGAUUAGAUACCCCCGUAGUC
rnacentral:rRNA from 1 species